CUCCUCCUCCUUGUCAGAUCCGGGAAAGGAUCUUUUUCAGAUUCUUACUGGUAUGGCUCCUGCAGACAAAGUAUCACUCUUGUCGUCCAGCCUGGAGAGUGCAAUGGCAUGAUCUCAAGAGUCUCACUGCAACUUCCGCCUCCCGGGUUCAAGCAAUUCUCCUGCCUCAGCCUCCCGAGUAGCUGGGAUUAUAGGCACAUGCCACCACGCCCAGCUAAUUUUGGUAUUUUCAGUAGAGACGGGGCUUUGCCAUGUUGGCCAGGCUGGUCUCGAACUCCUGACCUCAGGAGAUCCGCCUGCCUCAGCCUCCCAAAGUGCUGGGAUUAUAGGAGUGAGCCACUGUGAUCGGCUGAGAUUUUCUGCUUCUUCAAUGCAAGUUAUUAAGUGGAAUAAGUUUUCAAAUAUUAAACAAAAACACUUUUGCAAUUUCAGAGGAAACUAAACUCAUCUAGAAGCUUAUCAAAUAUAUUUUUCUUUUAAUUUAUAGAACACAUAUGAUGCAGAAAAGGUAAUUUGUGCAUCAAAAUGGUGAAUGUGUUAAAUCAAACUCUUGCAUAAUCAAGUAUGUUGACUCUUACGUCAACAUAAGAAAACUCAGAUUCUUUAAGUCCCCUUGCAGACCACAUUUUAAAGUGUGCUUUACUGAUUAAAACACAAAGGCAACACAAUACUUUGAUGAAUUGAUUGCUUUCAAAUAUGAAGAAUUAAGACAAAAUGUAUUAGCGUUAGUUAGAUGACUAGUGGUAAACCUGGGAACCCCAGGAUAAGAUAUUUUGGCAUCCUCACAUAUGCAGAAAUAUUCAUCAGAAGUAUGCAUUGAAAACUAAAGAUAUUCGUAUCAUUUGUACCUUUGCAGGAAAAGCUGAGAGGUUCAUUCUUUUUAGAUAUGAGCUACCAAUGGUCUCAAUUCCAUAAAUAGCAUAAGAAAAAAUAAAGGAAAAUUGCCAUAAAUAUGUCGCAAGUGAGUACAAACUAGUUAAUAUAAGAUUUCAUUUCCCAUGACAAUUCAAGGUAUCUAAAACUACACCCUUUCUGUGCAACAAUUACCUGCACAUGAGUAGUAGCUGCCUCCUUUAUAAUGGCAAAAAUAAAUGUUUAGCUAUACUCCUCCCCACAUUGUGUAUUGCGCACCAGCCUUGUUUCAUUCAGUUAUUUUAUUUUAUUUCAAUUAUACUACUUUCUAGUCCAUUUUGGUAUGUGUCUUUGUUGCCCUUGGUUUAAAUCAUCCUUGUGAGUGUUUUAAAAUAUCACCUUGGUGUCAGUCAGAGUGACAUGAUCUAUAGCAUAUAUCAAAAUGAGACUUGCAUAAUAAAAUACUCUAAAGAAAAUGGUCUGUGGGACACAAAUGUAGAUUUUCUUGAAUAUAAAUGUAUAAACUGUUUUCUAACCUGGAUUUUACACGAUAGGUUUAAAUGCCUGACAUUUCUGAAGAGGCUCCUUUGGAAUAGGUGCUAGGUUAGAUGCAGAUACACAGAUAUAAAACAGACUUCCCAGUGCUGAUAGUAUGUGGGGCUAUAGAAGAAAAGACCUCAUGCAAAUGCAAUAGAAGGGUGCAAUAGCACUGUGUUAUUGGUACUCGGGGGAAAGCAGCUUAUUAUGCUUAAGUGACUGUGUGGUUUGGGGCAGGGUUCAGGUGAGAAUGUUCAGAAAGGUAUCUCAGAAAGAGUAACACAGGGACUAUCUGGAAGAACUAUAAUUUUAAAAAGACAAGAAAGCAAAGGGCAAUUUGGACAGAAAGAACACUAGUGUCCCCUGAUACACUGGUGAUAAACACUCAACAAAAAAAGGUGAUGUUGGUAUUUGCACAUGACACAAAUGAAGAUUGUUGAAAAAUAAAAUAACCAAUUUACAAACUAUUCUAUUUGCUAAAUAACAGCAGCAGUUCUCAUAAUAAUGGUUCUUUUCUCUGAACAUCAUGAUUCUUAUUGGUUUCUUGAUUAUUUUUAAAAUUCUCCAAAUGCACUUAAAUAGUCAUUAAAAAAGAAUCAUUAGUAAACUAUCACUAAAUGUAAACCAAAUGUCUUAUUGUACUAUUUUCUAAACUUCAUCAGAACAAUAUUUUUCUGCCUCUCUUCAGAAAUUGUACACCUUUAACAUUGUUGCAUAUACAGCAUUUACAAUUUUUAAUAAGAUUAUUGUUUAAAAUAAAAGACAUGGUAAGGGAGAAAAUGACAUUUACAACUUAUUUCAAAAUCUAUUUUACCUUCAUCUCUUACUUGUAUUUUAUUAUUAAUAUGUUUGUUUGCAAAGCAAUACAUUUUAAAACAUCCCUCCUUUACACUUCUUUCUUUAUUAAACUAAGUAACAUAGAGGAAAAAAAAUCAAACUGAAAGCCUCAGUUUUUUUUUCUUUUUUCUUUUUUUUGAAUUGCAAUGUCUUUCUUUUAAUUAUGUUGAAAUUCAUUAAAGCGAUUGUACUAGAGGAUUUGGCAGAGUUAAUGUCAGGCUUUAAUUUAUCAGGGUAAAUUUUGUAAAAAUCUAUUGCUGUGCUUUGUCUAAGAACUGACAUUUUAUGUAUGAUUAAAAGCUAACGUGAUUUAGUUUGGAAAGAGAAUUAUGGAA
rnacentral:lncRNA from 1 species